rnacentral:rRNA from 1 species
GAAAUAUUGCAGCUUAACUGUAACAGUGCCGUUGAUACUGUAGAGCUAGGAUUAGAUUGCUGUGGGCGGAAUGUGUGGUGUAGCGGUGAAAUGCUUAGAGAUCACACAGAAUAUCGAUUGCGAAGGCAGCUCACAAAGCCUAAAUUGACGCUGAGGCACGAAAGUGUGGGGAUCGAACAGGAUUAGAUACCCUGGUAGUCCACACUGUAAACGAUGAUAACUCGCUGUCGGCGAUAUACAGUCGGUGGCCAAGCGAAAGCGAUAAGUUAUCCACCUGGGGAGUACGACCGCAAGGUUGAAACUCAAAGGAAUUGACGGGGGCCCGCACAAGCGGAGGAACAUGUGGUUUAAUUCGAUGAUACGCGAGGAACCUUACCCGGGCUCGAACGGUGCAUGAAUGUCAGAGAGAUUUGACAGUCCUUCGGGACAUGUAUCGAGGUGCUGCAUGGUUGUCGUCAGCUCGUGCCGUGAGGUGUCGGCUUAAGUGCCAUAACGAGCGCAACCCUUGUUGACAGUUACCAUCAGGUAAAGCUGGGGACUCUGUCGAGACUGCCACCGUAAGGUGUGAGGAAGGGGGGGAUGACGUCAAAUCAGCACGGCCCUUAUGUCCGGGGCGACACACGUGUUACAAUGGGAGGUACAGAGGGCAGCUAUCCAGUGAUGGAGUGCAAAUCUCAAAAACCUUUCUCAGUUCGGAUUGGAGUCUGCAACUCGACUCCAUGAAGUUGGGAUUCGCUAGUAAUCGCGCAUCAGCCAUGGCGCGGUGAAUACGUUCCCGGGCCUUGUACACACCGCCCGUCAGCCAUGGAAGCUUGGGGUGCUUGAAGUUCGUGACCGCAGGAGCGACCUA